GGCUACACAUGCAGUCGAACGGUAACAGGAAGCAGCUUGCUGCUUCGCUGACGAGUGGCGGACGGGUGAGUAAUGUCUGGGAAACUGCCUGAUGGAGGGGGAUAACUACUGGAAACGGUAGCUAAUACCGCAUAACGUCGCAAGACCAAAGAGGGGGACCUUCGGGCCUCUUGCCAUCGGAUGUGCCCAGAUGGGAUUAGCUAGUAGGUGGGGUAACGGCUCACCUAGGCGACGAUCCCUAGCUGGUCUGAGAGGAUGACCAGCCACACUGGAACUGAGACACGGUCCAGACUCCUACGGGAGGCAGCAGUGGGGAAUAUUGCACAAUGGGCGCAAGCCUGAUGCAGCCAUGCCGCGUGUAUGAAGAAGGCCUUCGGGUUGUAAAGUACUUUCAGCGGGGAGGAAGGCGAUAAGGUUAAUAACCUUGUCGAUUGACGUUACCCGCAGAAGAAGCACCGGCUAACUCCGUGCCAGCAGCCGCGGUAAUACGGAGGGUGCAAGCGUUAAUCGGAAAUUA
rnacentral:rRNA from 1 species